rnacentral:rRNA from 1 species
CGGCGUGCCUAAUACAUGCAAGUCGAACGCAUUGUGGUUGAAAUGAUAUGAAGAACUUGUUCAGAUUUGAUUUUCAACAUUGCAAUGAGUGGCGAACGGGUGAGUAACACGUGGGAAACCUACCUCUUAGCAGGGGAUAACAUUUGGAAACAAUGCUAAUACCGUAUAAUAAUUAAAACCGCAUGGUUUUAGUUUAAAAGAUGGUCUUGCUAUCACUAAGAGAUGGUCCCGCGGUGUAUUAGUUAGUUGGUGAGGUAAUGGCUCACCAAGACAAUGAUACAUAGCCGAGUUGAGAGACUGACCGGCCACAAUGGGACUGAGACACGGCCCAUACUCCUACGGGAGGCAGCAGUAGGGAAUCUUCCACAAUGGACGAAAGUCUGAUGGAGCAACGCCGCGUGUGUGAUGAAGGGUUUCGGCUCGUAAAACACUGUUGUAAGAGAAGAAUGACAUUGAGAGUAACUGUUCAAUGUGUGACGGUAUCUUACCAGAAAGGAACGGCUAAAUACGUG